rnacentral:lncRNA from 1 species
AAGAAAUAAUAUUGAUUUGAUUCUUUUUUCAGAUGUGAACUUGUGGAUGGGCCUGUUUGGAUAACAUUGCCUCCAAUUUAUUAGAGUUGUGUCUAUAUGGCCACCAAAACGGGUAUGAUCAGUUUCAUUCUUCUAGUAUUCUUUUGUUUCUGUAUUUCACACGUAAGCAAAGAAAGUAAGAAAAAAUGAGCUCUUCAUAGUUCUUUUUCUUUAUUUAGUGCCGAAUUUUCAUACAUCAUCAGGGCGAUGGUAUAUUUACAACUGAUAAUGUUGCCAUGAAAGUCCCCAUAUCUACCCAGGGGCUUGAGAAAUAUAAGUAACAUACAUCUCUUCACUCUUCAGAUACUCUUAUUUCUGCAGUGCAGCAUACCGUCUCAAUGGUGUGAUCUGUAGAGGAGGAUGGUGUUGAACCGUACAAAAUUCCUAAACAACUGUUGGCGUUUUACGCUUAAUGUGCCGAGAUGUCAACUCUGACUCCGUCCCUCCAAGCAUUUCCCACAUCACCUGUACAUCUUCAUAUCCACAGGACUGUAUAUCGCCUUGAAGCUUCAAUAAUCCAGCACCUGAUGUAAACAAAAGUAAGUAAUCCAUAAAGCUACUAUCUCUAUGUUUUUCACUCUGUUCCUUAAGACUGUCCAAAUUCUUUGCAUCCUAAGUGCCAAAAUUUAUGAAGUUACAAGUUUCUCUUCUACCCUAGCUUAGUGAUAACUUAUAUUCCUCCGUCCCAAUUUAUGUGACAAUAUCUAAAACAAACACAUCUUUAAAAAGUUAGAUUGUAGAAAAAACAGGGGGAGAGGCUUUGAAAAACUAGUGCAUCUAUAUUUAGCUUCUUCCUAUAUGUUCAUUAAAUCAAGAGUAAGAGAAACACCAAAUGCGAGUAAGUUUUUUUAUGACUAACCAUCUUUACGAGGCUUGACACGAGCAGAAACAGCACCCCAAACACGUCUAACCGGAAAGACCAUUUUUUGCCACAAAUCCUCCAUCUCCUCUCCUCUACUCCUAUGUUUGGUUGAAAAUGAAAGGGUUUAUAGUGCUCUUUGUUGCAAUAAAGAAUGUAAUGACUAGAGACUAAUAAAGGAGUGAUGUGUUCCUUCCACUCUUGAGUCUUGAUGUGGGGUUUCACAAAAGCAGAUGAAUUAGUGAUAUUGACACAUAUAUAUAUGGGAAAAUAGGGAUGUAUAUGUUUGAAUAUUCUAAUAACUCUAUAAAGUAUGCAGACAAAAUUUACCCCAAUUUAGAUUUGAUUUUUUUCACUAAAGAAAUAAAAAAUAUUCACCGACGCGACCGUCACAGUGCUUGUGUAAGAGAUAUUUUAGUGCCACGAGUCACUUGUGUUGUGGCUGCGCAGGAUUGUCUUAGUUAUUAUUUGGACCGUCAAAUACGUUUGAAAUAUUUUGAAUUGUUAUAGUUUCUAAAUAUUUCAAUUUUAUUUUGAAAAAAUAUUGACGAUACUUUUUAAUUGUCAUGGUUUUUUUUUUUUAGAGUCAAACUAUAAAAACUUUGACUAAUAUUUUACGAUGUAUUUUUUCAUUAUAUUGAUAUGCAAAAAAAUUGUAAUUUAUAGUAUUUUUCAUAUAAUUUUUUAAUAUCUAAAUUUUUUAUUUAAAAUUAAAUUAAUGUAAUCUAAUUUAACAUUGAAAUUAAUUAAAUUAACUUUUGAAAAAAGUAACAUAACAAAUAAAAAUGAAUGAAAAAAAUAUAUUUGAAUUAGUUUAAUUCUCGCGGAGACCAUCAUUUUGGGAUGGAGGGAGUAUUUUCUGCUAGUGCUCGUCUUUUGACUUCUUUUCAUUCAACACAUGUCAUGUUUUCAGUGGGAAAGAGAGAAGAAAAUGGCACCUUUAUAUUAUAAUUAUAAUUAGAAAAAUUGUGUGGUUUGGACGGUUUGACUCUUUAGAUUUUUGUGCCUCAAAUCGAGAGAACAUUAUUAGUGAGCCUUUUUCUGAAAGAACAUUAUUUACAUGCGUUAUUUAUCCCAAAUAUAGUGAAAUAAAUAUUAAGAUUUUUUUUUAUAGCAUUGGCAAUUUAAUUUUGUUAUAUUUGGUGUGAGUAGGUUUGGAGUUUGGGUCAGCUAAUCAGACCAAGAUUCCUAAUUCAAGAGAUGGAAAAGGAAAGGAGUGAUAAGAAGGUCCCAAUGAGAGAGAUAUUUUUGUGUAUUGAAGAAUACGUGGAGUCUUUUUGAGGCUCUAUUAUUAUUACAACUUUCCCGUACUGUCAGCAAUGGGGUCUACCUCCACGUUUUAAUCAAUUUUUUCGAUGGAUUUUAGUUUAUGCAUUUAGUAAUCGCUCGGCGUGAGAUAUAUGGUUUAAUAAUUUUAAAAUAUAAAAUAUAAAAUUAUUUUAUCUUGUGUUUGGUUGGAG